CCCAUCCUCCUGCUCGUCCUCGGGGCGACGACGUGCCAAGCGGGGAUUUAAAUCGCACGCGAACGCGUGACGUACGCGAAAGAACGCGGAUCACGUGACGAGAGGCGACCACCGAUCGUCGCCUUCGAAACUCUCUCUCCCUCUCUCUCUCUCUUUCUCUUUCUUUCUCUCUCAAAACUCGGCUUCGCGGCCACUCGCGAGCAUCCUGGGGGAAAGGAUCCGAUUCCCGGAUUAACUCAACGAACGGAACUGAGAUGCGAUAACAGCAGAAACGAUGUGCACGUUCCUCGUGCAGCCAGUAGAAAUGGACUACAUUGGUCGGACAGCAUUCAAUGAAAUAAAUGGUGAUUCGGUAUACAUAAAACUGCGUGCGCGAAGAUGAAGACUGAGGAGCAGGGAGGGACGGAGGAGUGUCGUGUAUUCGUGUCGACGUCGCAUAGGAUAGAGAGGAGAUAUUACGUAGGGUCGGAUCGUAAACUGGUAACAUCCGCCAAUCAAAUCCGUCUGUCUAUGUGUGUGACCUGGCCUAGAAUCGAAAGCUCUUCUAUACCGAGGAGAGACGGUAAUUUCGCGCGAUGAAAAGAGCGCGCUAUAUUACCGCGCUGGCAUUAUGCGAUGUGGAACGUUUCGACCGUGUUGUCGAAUCAUUUAAUCAUGAUUACGUCGAGGAAAAAAGAAAUCUAAUCUAUAAAAUCGGCAGGAUCAAAUAUUCGGAAGUACUUGUUUGUUGUUUCAAUUAAAUCGACGUUAUAUCUCCUCCGAGCAAGAAGGUGGUAUCCUAGUACAACAUGUUAACUGAAUAUUGGUUGUAUUGGGAAUAUUUUUUGGCUAAUAUUUCCCAAAGUAAAGCUAAUAAGGUUAUUAAUAAAAUGCAAGUGCACUGCCAAUUUUGGCAUAUAAUAUUAGCUCAGGAAGAAAGAUCGUCUUUACAAUUUAGUACUAAUAUGAAAAAUUAGUCUGUAUACCCAACAUAAAAAUUAGAUAUAUAUUGUUAGCCAAUAUUGCUGCAAUUAAAUUGUGCUAUUAGGGUGAAUGAAGAAAAAAUCGCGCUAUUUUCUAAUUCCUAUCCCAAGGCUCCUCGUGCUCGAAACACUUCGAGAUUCACAUAUAAAAGAUACGUUGUGCGAAAUCAAAUUUUUAGCUCGAUUAAAUUCUGAUAACACAGAAGCGU